UUAUGCCUUAUUGGCUUAUUCUUGGUUAUUUUGGAUGGUAUAUGGGCACAUCUAUAGAAGUGUAAACUGUAAAAGAAACUAUAGAACACAUAUUGCUAACAUUAGGAAUAAUAUUUUAAAUGAUUUAUUGUGAAUCAAAUUGAUCUCUUAUCUUAAAGCAUGCUAUUGGUAAACUUUUGAUAUUGAAAAAGGAACUUUCUUCAAUUCAAGAAUUAAAUCACAUGUGCAGUUGUUCCACAUUAAAUAUUGAUUUUUGCUUUGAGAUAUAGCAUUUGGUUAGUCUUAGAAGUUUUUUGCUUUUAAUCACUUUUGAUGUCACCAUUUGACUAAAUUGGAAAUCUCUUGAUUUUGCCUAACUAUAAACUAUGAAUUUUAUGAUUGACGUGAAAAAAACUUCCUAACUUAACAAUUUGCUACUUUUCUUGGGGAUGUUAUAAGAAUGAGAAACGUGUAACACUUUGGAUAAUAUAUGGGCAGAACAGCUAUAGAGAAGUAAAAAUUUAUUUCCUUUCAAUAAAUUUACAAAGUUGAAUCUUUGGAUGAUGUAGCUUCUGAAUAUAUUACAAGCUAAUUAUAACUAUCAGCAAUGAAUGGUUGGGCAUACCAUAGACUUAUUCUUCAUUUCUUAAUGGAGAUUUGUAAUGCAGAUUUCUAAAAUGGUGCAAUUCUCUUGGAGAAUUCCCAUACUUUGAUUCUUGAUUAGGUUAAAAGAAAUCAUGCUUUCAUGUUCAGCUCUGUAAAGAAGGUAAUGAAUACUGCAAUGCAUCAAAAUGGAAAAUGGACAUCAGCUCCAAGAGUUCUCAAAGGCAAAUUUGACUGUCUUUUAUUUGGUGUGAUGUGUGGCUCCUAUUUUCUGCUAAUAAGAGGUCAUAUCAGACAUUCAUAAGUACUCAAUGAAAUUGACUCCAGAAUUUCAUAUUCUGAUUCGGAUUUCUAAAGCUAUAAGGGACCCUAACGCUAUAGCAAUGACAUCAGGUAACAAUUUAGAUCUUUGGAAUGGUGUUGCAUUCAAGUGGUAUUUUGUUAUUUAUUUAUUAUUUUUUACACUAUUAUGUUGGAAAACAAUUCCCCUUAAAAUACAGUUUAAUAUAUCAUAGCCAAUACUAAAAAAGUAUUUGGUGUUCUUAUUUAAGAUUAGUAUUUCUUCGUGCAUAGAUUACUUUUUGGUGAAGAAAAAUGUAUUAACAUGGUUUUUAACUUAUGGAUCAUAUAUGGUUAAUGAUUUACUUGCCAUUAGCACAAUUUAACUCGUUUGAGACUUGAAUAUUUAUUAGGAUGACUCUAAUUGGUCCGUUGAAUUCCAGUCAGAGUUACUCAGAUGAAAGAAAAAAUGAUAGUGGACUUUGUUGUUUGUUUGGCUUUAAGCAACAAUGAAGAGGACUAAGGUUUGAAAAUCUGAUUUUGUAGAAUUUUAGUAAAAUGAAACUGGGUAGAUUAUAUUUUUAGGAAGAUCAAACAUAGGACAAAAUUUAAAGAAAGAAUAAAACAUCAGAUUUUAAGGACAUAAAAAAUGCCUUCUUAUUUACAUCAUAUGUGCAGAGUAUGCUAGAAAUGUUCAGAACAUGGAAUCUGGGAGGAGACAAUCAUCAUAAGUA